CCUACGGGGGGCAGCAGUGAGGAAUAUUGGUCAAUGGCCGGAAGGCUGAACCAGCCAUGCCGCGUGAAGGUCAGUGCCCUAUGGGCGUUAAACUUCUUUUGUGCGGGAGCAAUAAUGGUCACGUGUGGCCAGACGAGAGUACCGUACGAAUAAGCAUCGGCUAACUCCGUGCCAGCAGCCGCGGUAAUACGGGGGAUGCAAGCGUUAUCCGGAUUUAUUGGGUUUAAAGGGUGCGUAGGCUGUGAGGUAAGUCAGUGGUGAAAUGCCCCCGCUCAACGGGGUGAAGUGCCAUUGAUACUGCCUGGCUGGAAUGCGGAUGCCGUGAGAGGAAUGUGUGGUGUAGCGGUGAAAUGCAUAGAGAUCACACAGAACACCGAUUGCGAAGGCAUCUCACGAAUCCGCGAUUGACGCUGAUGCACGAAAGCGUGGGUAUCAAACAGGAUUAGAUACCCCAGUAGUC
rnacentral:rRNA from 1 species